AAACAUCAUAUCUCAGAUUUAUAAGAGAUGAUUGACUUGCUCAAAUCUGAGCUUGAGGAUAAGAAAAAUGAAAAGGUGGUUAAUGGUGGCAAAACUCUGUACUCGACACUGGACAACAACACUGUUUCUUCUUCCAAUGAUGACUUGGAAGACCUAAGUACUUUCCUUCCUUAGACAAAUGCCAGAAUGAAGGUGCGGGGUUCAUUUUGACAAAGACGACAGUGGUGACUUGAACUUGAAACAUCGAAACAAGCUACUUGACUUGGUAUAGUAAUAAACUGCAUUAGCUUGUAGAGGUUGAGCAUUAUGGUUCCCUGAGAAAAUGAACAAGAAUGUGAAGCUCAAGUUACUAUCAUUGCUUCCAAUGUCGGCAUCAUUUAUACCAUCAGAUUUAUAUCCAAACUCCUAAUUGUAGAAAUACCUCCAAGUGUUGUAACAUGUAAAAUGGUUUAUUCAGUUGAGUAGAUGAUUUACUCAGUUAGAUAU